UAGUAAUUUAAUGAUAUGACA
rnacentral:piRNA from 1 species